rnacentral:rRNA from 2 species
GACGAUACGGCGUCGAGCGGCGGACGGGUGAGUAAUGCCUAGGAAAUUGCCCUGAUGUGGGGGAUAACCAUUGGAAACGAUGGCUAAUACCGCAUAAUGCCUACGGGCCAAAGAGGGGGACCUUCGGGCCUCUCGCGUCAGGAUAUGCCUAGGUGGGAUUAGCUAGUUGGUGAGGUAAGGGCUCACCAAGGCGACGAUCCCUAGCUGGUCUGAGAGGAUGAUCAGCCACACUGGAACUGAGACACGGUCCAGACUCCUACGGGAGGCAGCAGUGGGGAAUAUUGCACAAUGGGCGCAAGCCUGAUGCAGCCAUGCCGCGUGUGUGAAGAAGGCCUUCGGGUUGUAAAGCACUUUCAGUCGUGAGGAAGGUAGUGUAGUUAAUAGCUGCAUUAUUUGACGUUAGCGACAGAAGAAGCACCGGCUAACUCCGUGCCAGCAGCCGCGGUAAUACGGAGGGUGCGAGCGUUAAUCGGAAUUACUGGGCGUAAAGCGCAUGCAGGUGGUUUGUUAAGUCAGAUGUGAAAGCCCGGGGCUCAACCUCGGAAUUGCAUUUGAAACUGGCAGACUAGAGUACUGUAGAGGGGGGUAGAAUUUCAGGUGUAGCGGUGAAAUGCGUAGAGAUCUGAAGGAAUACCGGUGGCGAAGGCGGCCCCCUGGACAGAUACUGACACUCAGAUGCGAAAGCGUGGGGAGCAAACAGGAUUAGAUACCCUGGUAGUCCACGCCGUAAACGAUGUCUACUUGGAGGUUGUGGCCUUGAGCCGUGGCUUUCGGAGCUAACGCGUUAAGUAGACCGCCUGGGGAGUACGGUCGCAAGAUUAAAACUCAAAUGAAUUGACGGGGGCCCGCACAAGCGGUGGAGCAUGUGGU